rnacentral:rRNA from 1 species
GACGAACGCUGGCGGCGUGCCUAAUACAUGCAAGUAGAACGGUAAAGCGAGCAGCUUGCUCUUGUUGGCGGAGUCGCGAACGGCUAAGUGACGCGUAAGUCACCUGCCUGGUGGCGGGGACUAACUAAUAGAACCGGUAGCUAAUACCUCAUAACCUGGAUUAUCGCAUGAUAAUGCCUUGGAAGGUGAAAAUGCAUCACUACCAGAUGGACGUGCGUUGUAUUAGCUAGCUGGUUGGGUAACGGAUGACCAAGGAGAAGAUACAUAGCCGGCCUGAGAGGGGGAUGGGCGACACGGGGACUGAGACACGGCCCAGGCCCCUGCGGGAGGCAGCAGGAGGGAAUCGGCGGCAAUGGACGGAAGUCUGACCGAGCAACGCCGCGCGAGUGAAGAAGGUUGUCGGAUCGUAAAGUGCUGUUGUCAGAGAAGAGCGAGGGUGAGAGUGGAAUGUUCACACUGUGACGGUAGCUUAACAGAAAGGGACGGCUAACUACGUG